rnacentral:rRNA from 1 species
GACGAACGCUGGCGGCGUGCUUAACACAUGCAAGUCGAACGGAAAGGCCCUGCUUUUGUGGGGUGCUCGAGUGGCGAACGGGUGAGUAACACGUGAGUAACCUGCCCUUGACUUUGGUAUAACUUCAGGAAACUGGGGCUAAUACCGGAUAGGAGCUCCUGCUGCAUGGUGGGGGUUGGAAAGUUUCGGCGGUUGGGGAUGGACUCGCGGCUUAUCAGCUUGUUGGUGGGGUAGUGGCUUACCAAGGCUUUGACGGGUAGCCGGCCUGAGAGGGUGACCGGCGACAAUGGGACUGAGAUACGGCCCAGACUCCUACGGGAGGCAGCAGUGGGGAAUAUUGCACAAUGGGAGGAAGCCUGAUGCAGCAACGCCGCGUGCGGGAUGACGGCCUGCGGGUUGUAAACCGCUUUCGCCUGUGACGAAGCGUGAGUGACGGUAAUGGGUAAAGAAGCACCGGCUAACUACGUG